UCCCUAAGGACAGACACGGGAUUUAGUAGUGAUACCAAGAACUUUUUGCUUUACCCUUCGCUGGUAAUCUGACUUCACUCGCCGGAAUAUACUUCCACCGGUAAGUCCCCUUAACUUCUUCAGGUUUAGAAAACAGUUGAGAAAAGAAAGGAAAACAAAAUUCUGGGUGAAGGGUUGUUACCAGGCACAUAAGAUUUGAGUUUCUAGAAGCAGCAAUAUCAUUUGUGUGAUAUGCCAUACCUGGUGCGGGAGAAUCUGUUUAUUGGCAAUAUUGGGGAUGCUGCAGAUGUUCUCCAGCAUGAUAUUGGUGAAAUUACACAUAUAUUAUCAGUUCUCAGCUCCGCAUCAAUUUCAUUUUUCUCAGAAUGGCGAAGGGAGAUCCUGAUCCCUACAGAAGAGAUUCGUAAGGUGUAUGUUGGGGGUUCAGGAACAGAGGAUGAUUCAGGUGAUGGGUCCAAGAGUUCUCUGGCACCAGAAAAGGUGCUGUAUUCCUUAGAGAAAGCAGGGAAGGAUUUGAAGUUUGUAAGGAUGGCUGUACCAUUCAAAGAUACAGAGAGUGAGGAUCUAUUGGAUUACUUGGAUGUUUGUUUAGAUUUUAUUGACCGAAGUAGAAAAGAAGGGUCUGUAUUGGUUCACUGCUUUGCUGGUGUAUCAAGAAGGUAAUUCUCAUUUGCCGAUUCUUUCUACUUUUGAAGUUUGCUUGUUCCCACUUUAUAGCUGAGGUACUUUUCAAAUUCCUUUUGCUGGUAGAAUAACGAGUGUUCAUUGAACUGAUGUCGGUUAUUCUGUGUCUU